rnacentral:tRNA from 1 species
GGCCCAUUAACUCAGUUGGUUAGAGCGUCGUGCUAAUAACGCGAAGGUCGCAGGUUCGAGACGUGCAUGGGCCA